rnacentral:sRNA from 1 species
UAAAUAAUUAUAUCUAUAUUAAAGGGCUCUUAUUUUUUUUUUGAGAAUAUUACACUGUAAAACACUUUUUAAAAAACAUUUCCGUGGUUAGACACUUUCUAAAAAGAAGGCACUUUGAAUGUAUAAUUUGACCAAUUUACCCUCUAACCAUAUAUCGCUUUAUCUCUCUCAUCCACCUAUUCUUUCAAAAAAUAAACAAAACUCAAGCCAAAAAAAUAUAUUUAUACCUUUUUCUUUCUUUCCUUUUCAACAAAUCAUCAGCUUUUAUGAGAAAGAGAGAUUGAGAUUCACCUUCUUUAAUUUUUCGCGUGUGCUUUGAUCUGACUUGAAGGAAAAAAAUUUCAGACCAUCAAUUUGAGAAUCUGUCCUAUCUGGCUGAUUUAGUUACAUGACUCGUUGAAUGCUUGAAUUGGAUUUACAGUUUGGUUUUCGUUUUAUGUUUUUGCUGUUUGUUGCAAAAUUAAUCUCAUUACUUGCUCUUUGAUUCUUUGUCUUGCUUUUCCAAUUUCAUAUUCGAGAUUAUUCUCUUGAAUUGGAGAUUAAAGCCUCGUAGUGGACUUCGAAUCGUUUGAUAGUAAUGGUCGAAUCACUAGUUGAUGGAACUCGUUGCUUAGUUCAUGUUCUGUGAAUUUGAUUCAUGAUUAUAUUUGGGUUGUAUCUUUUCAGAAAAUCUGGUUAUUUUAUGUGUUCAUCAUAAACGGUUUAUAAGUUUUUUGAUGGUUGAUUCACUUAGUGAAGAACCUUGUUGCUAGUUCUCGUUAUGUGAAAUUGAUAGAGGUUUUAGCUUAGAUCUGAAAUUAAUUUUCAUUCACAUAUGUUAGAUUGAAUUCUACAUUUGUGUUUAAGAUAUAGAUGUUAAAAAUUUGGUGCAAAAUCGAGAAGAUUAUCUUAACACAGUUAAAUGAACAGACCUCAGUGGACAACAAUUUCUGGACAACGAUUUCUGGACACGUUCUUCUUUACCUUUUUAUCUCAAAAUCCAAUCGAGAAGAUCAUCUUAACAGAGUUAAAUGAACAAACCUAUGUGGACAACAACUUCUCGACACGUUCUUCCCUUGAAUUUGUGAUCAUUUAUGUUAUAUUUUGAGAUGUUUUGUAUAUAAAAUCAAACUUGGACUUGUAUUUUAAAACUUCAAAAUCAAAUUGAGAAGAUCAUCUUAACAGAGUUAAAUGAACAGACCUUUGUGGACAACACUUUCUGGACACGUUCUUCUUUACCGUUUUAUCUCAAAAUCCAAUCAAGAAGAUCAUCUUAACAGAGUUAAAUGAACAUACCUAUGUGGACAACGACUUGUGGACACGUUCUUCCCUUGAAUUUGUGAUCAUUUAUGUUAUAUUUUGAGUGUCUAUAUACAAGUGAACUAAUGUGUUGAAUAAGCAAAAAAAACAGAUGAUUUGUUUUGACCAACUUGUGAUUCUUGCAUCACCAAUGACAUUCUUUUCAUUAAAAAAACAAUUGAUGAAAGCUCUACACAUGAACCAUUUGUGUUCCAGUGUUUGUCAUAUUUCUAUGUCAUGUUUCACCAUUACUCCAUAUGGUCAAGUCUAAGUGGACAAUUUAUCAUGGACUAAACUAUCAUUAACUAGUUCGGUUUUGUGUGUUGCUAUUUGAAAGCAAUGUCUACAGAUUGUUCUUGGGUUUUGGAGACAUCUAAGAUUAUUGGGUUCUACAGAAAUAAUUGGUGUUCAAAGCUUGGAUAGUUUGUCUCCAUGAUAACGUGUCCACGUAAACGUAACCAUGUGGAAAUAAGUGAUUCUCAUAAGCAAAAGAAUAUGCUUUUAAGGUUAGACGUUCAAUGAAACAUCAAUUUAUCAAGAAAGAAUCAAAUUGUACCAAACAAGGCGAUCAAAUGGAUAUGAAAUUUAAUACUGGAAUUUGCCAACUUGGGUUUUCCAUAAACUCUCAAAUGUUUGAUUUUGAUAAACUCUUAAAUGUUUGAUUUUGCAAGGAAAGAAAAAAAAGUAAUAAUGAGAAGAGAGAGAGAGAGCGCGAAAAGAAGAAGCGACGAAGAAGAAGGAAAAAAAAGGAACGUGGAGAGAUGAAACUUUUUUUUUAAUUAUAAUUUUUUAUUUUUUAGGGGCAAAUUGGUCAAAAGUUUAAUGAAAAAGUUGGAAAAGUGCCUCAUCCCUGACAAGUGUCUCAAAAGGAAUAAAAUUUUCUAAAAGUGCCUUAACGUGUCACAUUCCCUUUUUUUUUCUAUUUGUCCCAAUUUUCUAACGCCUGUAUAUAUGAACUAGUGGAAUUUCCUGCUUGAUAUAUAAAGAAGAAUUGUAAGUACAAAAAAGGUUUUCACAAACAUAAGCAGAUGCUAUCAGUCACAAAAACCUAACCUUAUAUGU